rnacentral:rRNA from 1 species
CCUACGGGGGGCACCAGGCGCGAAAACUUCACACUGUGCGAAAGCACGAUGAGGGAAUCCCAAGUGCCAUCUCGUAAGAGGUGGCUGUUUCUAUGUUUAAAACGCAUAGAGAGUAAGGGCUGGGUAAGACGGGUGCCAGCCGCCGCGGUAAUACCUGCAGCCCAAGUGGUGGCCGCUAUUAUUGGGCCUAAAACGUUCGUAGCCGGUUUAGUAAAUGCCUGGGUAAAUUGUGUAGCUUAACUAUACGAAUUCCGGGUAGACUGCCAAACUUGAGACCGGGAGAGGUUAGAGGUACUCCUGGGGUAGAGGUGAAAUUCUGUAAUCCUAGGGGGACCACCAGUGGCGAAGGCGUCUAACCAGAACGGGUCUAACGGUGAGGAACGAAGCCCUGGGGCACAAACCGGAUUAGAUACCCCCGUAGUC